AUUGAACGCUGGCGGCAGGCCUAACACAUGCAAGUCGAACGCGUGGCGGACGGGUGAGUAAUGUCUGGGACACUGCGCGAUGGAGGGGGAUAUCUACUGAACACGGUAGCUUAUACCGCAUCCUCUCGUAUGUGCCCAGAUGGGAUUAGCUAGUAGGUGGGGUAAUGGCUCACCUAGGCGACGAUCCCUAGCUGGUCUGAGAGGAUGACCAGCCACACUGGAACUGAGACACGGUCCAGACGCCUACGGGAGGCAGCAGUGGGGAAUAUUGCACAAUGGGCGCAAGCCUGAUGCAGCCAUGCCGCGUGUAUGAAGAAGGCCUUCGGGUUGUAAAGUACUUUCAGCGGGGAGGCGUUACUCGCAGAAGAAGCACCGGCUAACUCCGUGCCAGCCGCCGCGGUAAUUC
rnacentral:rRNA from 1 species